UACGGAGGGUGCAAGCGUUAUCCGGAUUCACUGGGUUUAAAGGGUGCGUAGGCGGGCAGGUAAGUCAGUGGUGAAAUCCUAGAGCUUAACUCUAGAACUGCCAUUGAUACUAUCUGUCUUGAAUAUUGUGGAGGUAAGCGGAAUAUGUCAUGUAGCGGUGAAAUGCUUAGAUAUGACAUAGAACACCUAUUGCGAAGGCAGCUUACUACGCAGAUAUUGACGCUGAGGCACGAAAGCGUGGGGAUCAAACAGG
rnacentral:rRNA from 1 species